AAACGUCAAAACAGUGCGAAGAAAGCGGCGCAAAAGUCGCUCGUUCCGUCGUGAGUGUUAUUAAUGUUGAAAUUUGUUAAUUCCGCGCAUCAUCAUCGAAGCCUGAGUGUAAUUGUUUAUAGUGAGUGGGUGAAAAAUGUUGGCUGAGUCUGCCGCAACACCAAACCACCGCAGCAGCGAAAACAAACUGUCCUCCGUAGCCUCGAACUGUGGUUGCAGGUUUUCCGUGAUCGACUUUGCCAGAGAGGACAUCUAAAGAACCAACCACUCCUCAAACCGAAUCCGGUGCACUAGAUGAAGGACGUUUUUACGAUCCGGGAUAGGCAGCCGGAAUGAGCAAACUGCUUCUAGGAAAUGUUCUUAAAGGUUCAAACAGUUGAUGUCACUCGGAACCUUGCCGGAAGGCAGCACAGUAACUAGGUGGAGACCUUACGCGCGGAGACGGAACCGGCGAAUGGUCCAUCUACGGCGAGCGCUUCGCAGAUGAGAAGCUUAAGCACUACGACGCCGGAUGGCUGUCGAUGGCCAACACCAGCAAGGACACCAACGAAUCACAGUCCUUCUUCACGGUCGCGACUAGCUGGCUGGACGGACGUCAAGUCUAUAUCGGAAAAGAAGAAGCCCGUCCAGGAUAGGGUUUGAAACUUCCGUGGAGUGUGGAAGGUAAACAAAGAGAGUGCAUUCAAUUACUGAUCAAAAGAUGAUAAAUGAACGAUAAGUAAUAAAAUGAACGAUGAAACAAUGUAAUAUGAUUUUACGCCGUGACGACAUAUGAGCACGCUAUUCUAACCUCCAAAUCGUUUAGGCGUAAACCAAUGUUGAUUUGCAAACAAGCAAUCGAUCCUGCUAAAGCUCAAUUUGAAAAGUCACUGACGUGAGCAGGAUAGACUUCUUCUUUACAAAUCUUUAUUGGCUCAUUUACAUUCUUUUGCUUGAGUUUACUGGGCUACUGUGAACAAAUCUGGUGGUAGCUAUUUUUGUUUCAUAACCGUCCAAUUAGUACAUAAUAUUUUUAGCUAUGAUAUGAUCUACUAAUCUCUAACGGUGAGAAAACAUCUAGCGGAUAGAAUUGGAACAAGGUUGUGGUUUUUAAACUAACUUCCUUUAAUUGUUCCAGCUCGCCCAAGAACUUCGAAAUUAAACAAAUAAUUAGCGGAUUUGCAAUA